GCACUGCUGAGGAGUCCCAUACUAGCACGAAACGGCCGUCCAGUGC
rfam:Schistosoma margrebowiei strain Zambia genome assembly, scaffold: SMRZ_scaffold0001473